rnacentral:rRNA from 1 species
GAUGAACGCUAGCGGCAGGCCUAACACAUGCAAGUCGAACGGUAACAUAGAAAGCUUGCUUUCUGAUGACGAGUGGCGCACGGGUGCGUAACGCGUAUGCAACUUACCCUUAACUGGAGAAUAGCCUUUCGAAAGGAAGAAUAAUACUCCAUAACAUUUCUUCGUGGCAUCACGAGGUUCUUAAAGCUUCGGCGGUUAAGGAUGGGCAUGCGUCCUAUUAGUUAGUUGGUGAGGUAAUGGCUCACCAAGACAGCGAUAGGUAGGGGGCCUGAGAGGGUUAUCCCCCACACUGGUACUGAGACACGGACCAG